UGGGGAAUUUUGGACAAUGGGGGAAACCCUGAUCCAGCCAUCCCGCGUGUGCGAUGAAGGCCUUCGGGUUGUAAAGCACUUUUGGCAGGAAAGAAACGUCGCGGGUUAAUACCCCGCGAAACUGACGGUACCUGCAGAAUAAGCACCGGCUAACUACGUGCCAGCAGCCGCGGUAAUACGUAGGGUGCAAGCGUUAAUCGGAAUUACUGGGCGUAAAGCGUGCGCAGGCGGUUCGGAAAGAAAGAUGUGAAGUCCCAGAGCUUAACUUUGGAACUGCAUUUUUAACUACCGGGCUAGAGUGUGUCAGAGGGAGGUGGAAUUCCGCGUGUAGCAGUGAAAUGCGUAGAUAUGCGGAGGAACACCGGUGGCGAAGGCAGCCUCUGGGAUAACACUGACGCUCAUGCACGAAAGCGUGGGGAGCAAACAGGAUUAGAUACCCUGGUAGUCCACGCCCUAAACGAUGUCAACUAGCUGUUGGGGCCUUUCGGCCUUGGUAGCGCAGCUAACGCGUGAAGUUGACCGCCUGGGGAGUACGGUCGCAAGAUUAAAACUUAAAGGAAUUG
rnacentral:rRNA from 1 species